CGAUAAAGGCAAACCCGGGGAAACCCGGGGGCGCAAAGCCCACGGACCCUCGCGACUUGAACUUGGUCGCAGGGUGGCCGGGCUGCCGAA
rnacentral:ncRNA from 1 species